GACGAACGCUGGCGGCGUGCUUAACACAUGCAAGUCGAGCGGUAAGGCCCUUUCGGGGGUACACGAGCGGGCGAACGGGUGAGUAACACGUGGGUGACCUGCCCUCAGCUCUGGGAUAAGCCUGGGAAACCGGGUCUAAUACUGGAUAUGACUCCAUGACGCAUGUUGUGGGGUGGAAAGCCUUGUGCGGCUGAGGAUGGGCCCGCGGCCUAUCAGCUUGUUGGUGGGGUGAGGCCUACCAAGGCGACGACGGGUAGCCGGCCUGAGAGGGCGACCGGCCACACUGGGACUGAGACACGGCCCAGACUCCUACGGGAGGCAGCAGUGGGGAAUCUUGCGCAAUGGGCGAAAGCCUGACGCAGCGACGCCGCGUGA
rnacentral:rRNA from 1 species